GCGGUAGUGCAACGGUUCAGCACAUGCUCCCAGAAAGAGUAAGAUCUGGGUUGCAAUCCCGGCCGCUGCA